CAGCAGCCGCGGUAAUCCGGAGGGUGCAAGCGUUAAUCGGAAUUACUGGGCGUAAAGCGUGCGUAGGCGGUUCGUUAAGUCUGUUGUGAAAGCCCCGGGCUCAACCUGGGAAUGGCAAUGGAUACUGGCGAGCUAGAGUGUGUCAGAGGAUGGUGGAAUUCCCGGUGUAGCGGUGAAAUGCGUAGAGAUCGGGAGGAACAUCAGUGGCGAAGGCGGCCAUCUGGGACAACACUGACGCUGAGGCACGAAAGCGUGGGGAGCAAACAGGAUUAGAUACCCCGGUAGUCCCUGUCUCUUAUAC
rnacentral:rRNA from 1 species